UCAGCUCCUGAGGGAUCAUUUAGCAAUUUUGGGAUACAGAUUUAAUAAUUGCUUCCCCAAAGACCUGAAGCAGGCUUUUGCAACUAUGAUCAAAGAGGGGAAAAAUCUAUAUUCAUUGCUCUAAAUAUUUGUUGAAGCCUCCUUCCCUCUCAUCUCCCAAAUGUGUAUUGCUGCUGCAGCUGUUUUUGGACGAAGACAUGAUAUAGAUUUGGGAGCAUGAGUUGAUUGGGGAAACAUCUGUGAAGAUGAAGCAUAAUGUUGAGACAAUGUGUAAAUGAAGACAAUGGGCUCAUGUUGCAGUGGAAGAGAGUGAAGUAAGAAUACACAGGAAAGCCUGACAGUGCCUGAGGUGGGCUCUCAGGUGGAUGGAAGGUGCAGUGUGCUUGGAGGUUGGUGAAUU